UUCUGUCUGAAAGGCAUCUGUGGGUGUCUGCUCAUUUGCAGAGUGAAAAUGACAGGUCCUUUAACAAAUGGCAAAAGUUAAACUCCUUCUGGGUUCAGGUUGUUAGCUCUGCUUGCUUUCUGUUUAAUAACUUUCCACACAGGGGUUUCCUCCUCUUUCUUACCCUUCAACUUACUGAUUUUCUGUGAAUCCUGUCUUUGCCACUUUAUAAUUCCAAACAUCAUUCAUUCAUUAAGCAAAUGUUUAUUGAGUGUUUACUAUGUGCCAGGCACUCUUCUAGGUGCUGGGGAUAUAGGGAUGAACAGCAUACUCACACAUAUAGUCUAGGUAGGAAGACAAGGAAAAAUACAAGUUUUUUCAAAAUGUGGUAAAUGCUGUGAAAAAAUUGUAGGAUAAUAUGAUAAAAGUGAUUGCUGCUAACGUAAAAAAGGUUAAGAAGGUUUGAGGAGGUAAUGUUUGAUUUGAGAAUUGAAUGAGCAGAAGCCAGCCAUGUGUAGAGAAGAGGGGGAAAAUAGUUCAGGCCAGAGGGAACAGUUGUAUGAAGACACUGAGAUGGAAAAGAGCCUGAAGUGAAGGCCUGCAUGGCUGGACCAUGGGGAGAGAGUGGUAGGUGAUGAGAUCAGAGAGAGACCAGAACCAUGUCAUGGAGGACCUUGUGGACCACAGUAAGGACUUUGGAUUUUAUUCUCUGUGCAGUGGGAAGCUAUUGGAGGUUCUUAAACAGGGGACUGAUAUGGUCUGAUUUGCAUUUCAAAAGUUUACUCUGGGCGUUGUGGGGAAUAGGGGACCAGUGCACUCACCAAAGUAGAGUAUGUGGUUUAAAAAAAAAUUUAAUUGCGGCAUGAGCCACCGUGCCUUGCCAACUCUGGUUAAUUUUUAAGUUGAUGCAGGAUCUUUUCUUUCCCAGUUGCAUUAAGAUACUAUUAUUUCUAACUUGGUAAUUUUUUCCUAAAUGUACCCAUUUUAUAUAUUGUGGUUGGCACAGUACAGGAAAAGACAGGCAAAUAAGAAAAACUGUCAGGUUCAAACAUGGAGUGGUGAAGAUUUGUACUUAAGUGUAAGAGCAAAUUUUGGUAAAAAAGAAAGAAUGGGUUUGUUGACUAUAAUGUUAUCAUUUUAUAAUGCCUGAAAACUAAGGUUUCAGGCCUAAGGGACUGGAAAGAAUGGAAUUCCCUGAUGAAAGCAGUUGACAGAAGAUGGGGGAACCCAUUGGAGAAGAUGAUUUCAGCUUUGGAUAUGUCAAGUUGGUGCUAGAUAUUCAAGUGGAAUUAUUCUCUUAACUCUCAGAUAUGCAGGAUGGAAAUUGAGAUGAGAGGCCAGAACUAUGGAUAUAAAUUUCAGUUGUAAAAUUUGUUAUUUUUAUUAACAAAUAAAGGAGAACAGGGGAGGGAGGCAGUUAAAGAACCAGGAAGAAGGCUGCUUGCGGAUAUUCUUCAUUUGUUUGUUGAGCAGUGGUGUAGCCUCUUAAGUGUAUAAAUAUAUGUAAUGUUAUGUGGCAUGUGUGUGUGGAAAGAUUGUCUGCAUUUUUCUUAUACAUUAACUUAAGAAGUACCCCACCAGAAGCAAAAGGACAAAGAUUUUUAAAAUAAUCAGUCCUUAAUUAAUAAUGCUCAUUGAUACAUGUAAUAAAACUGGAAAGAGCUAACAUUCAUUAGUUAUUUUUAAAAUAGUCAACAAAUUCCAUUUUCCUGAUCAAAUUUAGAUUUAGAUGGACACGGUGGCUCACGCAUGUAAUCCCAGCACUUUGGGAGGCUGAGGCAGGC
rnacentral:lncRNA from 10 species